CAGUCGCGCGGGAACACAGAGGUCCCGAGCGUUGUUCGGAUUCACUGGGCGUAAAGGGUGUGUAGGAGGUUGGAUAAGUCAGGUGUGAAAUCCCACAGCUUAACUGUGGAACUGCAUUCGAUACUGUCUGGCUAGAGGAUCGGAGGGGGAAGCGGAAUUCUUGGUGUAGCGGUGAAAUGCGUAGAUAUCAAGAGGAACACCGGUGGCGAAGGCGGCUUCCUGGACGAUUCCUGACUCUGAAACACGAAAGCCAGGGGAGCGAAUGGGAUUAGAUACCCCAGUAGUCCCUGUCUCUUAUACA
rnacentral:rRNA from 1 species